rnacentral:rRNA from 1 species
UAGGGAAUCUUCGGCAAUGGACGGAAGUCUGACCGAGCAACGCCGCGGGAGUGAAGAAGGUUUUCGGAUCGUAAAGCUCUGUUGUUAGAGAAGAACGUUGGUAGGAGUGGAAAAUCUACCAAGUGACGGUAACUAACCAGAAAGGGACGGCUAACUACGUGCCAGCAGCCGCGGUAAGACGUAGGUCCCGAGCGUUGUCCGGAUUUAUUGGGCGUAAAGCGAGCGCAGGCGGUUAUUUAAGUCUGAAGUUAAAGGCGGUGGCUUAACCAUUGUACGCUUUGGAAACUGGUGGACUUGAGUGCAGAAGGGGAGAGUGGAAUUCCAUGUGUAGCGGUGAAAUGCGUAGAUAUAUGGAGGAACACCGGUGGCGAAGGCGGCUCUCUGGUCUGUAACUGACGCGGAGGCUCGAAAGCGUGGGGAGCAAACAGG